UGCCAGCAGCCGCGGUAAUACGGAGGGUGCAAACGUUGUUCGGAAUCACUGGGCAUAAAGAGCAUGUAGGCUGCUUGCUAAGUCAGGUGUGAAAUCCCCCGGCUCAACCGGGGAACUGCACUUGAAACUGGUAAGCUUGAGGAUGGUUGGGGUGAGUGGAACUUCAGGUGGAGCGGUGAAAUGCGUAGAUAUCUGAAGGAACACCGGUGGCGAAAGCGGCUCACUGGACCAUUCCUGACGCUGAGAUGCGAAAGCUAGGGUAGCGAACGGGAUUAGAUA
rnacentral:rRNA from 1 species